UCCCCUGCCCCCGCCUCCACCCCCCACGGCCCGCCUCUGCCCCCGCAUACAGCCCGCCCCCACCCCCCUCCUCCUUCCCUUCCCCUGCGGCUGCAGCCGCCUCCUCCCCACACCCCAGUGACCCCACCACACCCGCCCCGUGCAGCCGCCGCGUCGCCGCCUUCCCAGGACCGGCCCAGCCGCCCGAGGCGCCGCCCCGGAUCUCUCUCGUAGCAGGCCAGCCCCAACGCUGCCAAGAUCUUUGUGAGAAGGUUGAAAUGCAUCUUGCUUCUUGCAGCCGAGCGAGUCUCGAAGGAGACGCGAACAAGUACGGUUUGAAUCUGUUUUUUGGGGCAGCUGAAUCCCAAAAAUCAUAUGGUACUUAUGCUUCCUCGUCAAAAGAAAGUUAUCUCCUAACCGAUCAGAUGGUAUGGAUACUCCAACCGUUAGUGGUGAUGUGACUUAUGUACGGUUUUAUUGCAUAUUAGAGAACGAUAUUUUGGCCAAUAGUCUCUUCUCGAAUACAAAUAUAUAUUUGCAAGUCUGUAAUCCUUAUUAAUGAUCAACCAUAUUAUUUUCUUCAAUGCAAGAUAUGGUUCUUCUUUGCAAUUGAUUGGGAUUUGCUCAACUCUGGUUUGUUGUUUGUUGCAGGAUGCCUGUAACCUAAUGAUGGAUUAGUUUGCUCUCGGAGUAUUCUCCGAUCACGUGCUUUUGUUUGUCUUAAGGCUAGAUCCAUCAGGAGUUCCUAGGAGACUCUUCAGUCCACUUCCCUGGGAACCAAGGUCAGUGCGACAAUGGAGCAUAGUAAAGGUUGACUCUUUGUCAUGUUUAAUAUCAGUAGCAACAUGCCUCGCAAUUGAUCUGCAGAGCCAAGAAAAUGCACUACUAGGAUGGAACCUAAAAAUGCCCCCAUUUGUAUGGUAUGCGAGUGCUUUUACGGUGAUUGUCGAGUACUUUUCAGUACUCCCGCCGAAAUUAAUUAUGUCCGUUGAUCUCUAACUAUGGGCUACUUGUGUAAAAUGGUAACAAGAUCGGCUGAUUUAACACAGUUAAUUACGACGGCCGUUA